GAUGAACGCUGGCGGCGUGCCUAAUACAUGCAAGUCGAGCGAACAGACGAGGAGCUUGCUCCUCUGACGUUAGCGGCGGACGGGUGAGUAACACGUGGAUAACCUACCUAUAAGACUGGGAUAACUUCGGGAAACCGGAGCUAAUACCGGAUAAUAUAUUGAACCGCAUGGUUCAAUAGUGAAAGACGGUUUUGCUGUCACUUAUAGAUGGAUCCGCGCCGCAUUAGCUAGUUGGUAAGGUAACGGCUUACCAAGGCAACGAUGCGUAGCCGACCUGAGAGGGUGAUCGGCCACACUGGAACUGAGACACGGUCCAGACUCCUACGGGAGGCAGCAGUAGGGAAUCGUCCGCAAUGGGCGAAAGCCUGACGGAGCAACGCCGCGUGAGUGAUGAAGGUCUUCGGAUCGUAAAACUCUGUUAUUAGGGAAGAAAAAAUGUGUAAGUAACUAUGCACGUCUUGACGGGACCUAAUCAGAAAGCCACGGCUAACGAAG
rnacentral:rRNA from 1 species